rnacentral:miRNA from 1 species
CCACCGAUUUGGCAUGGGAUUGAC